AACAACCUGGCGGCAGGCCUAAUACAUGCAAGUCGUACGGGAGCCGGGCUUCGGCCUGGUGAGAGUGGCGCACGGGUGAGUAACGCGUGGGAACCUACCCCGGGGUGGGGGAUAACCACUGGAAACGGUGGCUAAUACCGCACGAUCCCUGCGGGGCAAAGUCGCAAGACGCCCUGGGAGGGGCCCGCGUCCGAUUAGCUAGUUGGCGGGGUUAAGGCCCACCAAGGCGAUGAUCGGUANCUGGUCUGAGAGGAUGAUCAGCCACACUGGGACUGAGACACGGCCCAGACUCCUACGGGAGGCANCAGUAGGGAAUAUUGGACAAUGGGCGCAAGCCUGAUCCA
rnacentral:rRNA from 1 species